rnacentral:tRNA from 1 species
AAGACACUAGUAAAACAGCCAUUACAUCACCUUGUCAGGGCGAAGUUGUAGGUUAAACCCCUGCGUGUCUUA